GGGCGAGUAGUAUAGCUUGGACAGUACGCGACCUUGCGGAGGUUGUAACCGAGGUUCAAAUCCUCGCUCGCCCG
rnacentral:tRNA from 1 species